GAUGAACGCUGGCGGCGUGCCUAAUACAUGCAAGUCGAGCGAACAGACGAGGAGCUUGCUCCUCUGACGUUAGCGGCGGACGGGUGAGUAACACGUGGAUAACCUACCUAUAGACUGGGAUAACUUCGGGAAACCGGAGCUAAUACCGGAUAAUAUAUUGAACCGCAUGGUUCAAUAGUGAAAGACGGUUUUGCUGUCACUUAUAGAUGGAUCCGCGCCGCAUUAGCUAGUUGGUAAGGUAACGGCUUACCAAGGCAACGAUGCGUAGCCGACCUGAGAGGGUGAUCGGCCACACUGGAACUGAGACACGGUCCAGACUCCUACGGGAGGCAGCAGUAGGGAAUCUUCCGCAAUGGGCGAAAGCCUGACGGAGCAACGCCGCGUGAGUGAUGAAGGUCUUCGGAUCGUAAAACUCUGUUAUUAGGGAAGAACAAAUGUGUAAGUAACUAUGCACGUCUUGACGGUACCUAAUCAGAAAGCCACGGCUAUCUACGUG
rnacentral:rRNA from 1 species